rnacentral:rRNA from 1 species
AUGAGAUUUUAACACGAAGUGAGUGGCGGACGGGUGAGUAACACGUGGGUAACCUGCCCAGAAGCAGGGGAUAACACCUGGAAACAGAUGCUAAUACCGUAUAACAGAGAAAACCGCCUGGUUUUCUUUUAAAAGAUGGCUCUGCUAUCACUUCUGGAUGGACCCGCGGCGCAUUAGCUAGUUGGUGAGGUAACGGCUCACCAAGGCGAUGAUGCGUAGCCGACCUGAGAGGGUAAUCGGCCACAUUGGGACUGAGACACGGCCCAGACUCCUACGGGAGGCAGCAGUAGGGAAUCUUCCACAAUGGACGCAAGUCUGAUGGAGCAACGCCGCGUGAGUGAAGAAGGGUUUCGGCUCGUAAAGCUCUGUUGUUAAAGAAGAACGUGGGUGAGAGUAACUGUUCACCCAGUGACGGUAUUUAACCAGAAAGCCACGGCUAACUACGUGCCAGCAGCCGCGGUAAUACGUAGGUGGCAAGCGUUAUCCGGAUUUAUUGGGCGUAAAGCGAGCGCAGGCGGUCUUUUAAGUCUAAUGUGAAAGCCUUCGGCUCAACCGAAGAAGUGCAUUGGAAACUGGGAGACUUGAGUGCAGAAGAGGACAGUGGAACUCCAUGUGUAGCGGUGAAAUGCGUAGAUAUAUGGAAGAACACCAGUGGCGAAGGCGGCUGUCUGGUCUGUAACUGACGCUGAGGCUCGAAAGCAUGUUAGAUACCCUGGUAGUCCAUGCCGUAAACGAUGAUUACUAAGUGUUGGAGGGUUUCCGCCCUUCAGUGCUGCAGCUAAACGCAUUAAGUAAUCCCGCCUGGGGAGUACGACCGCAAAGGUUUGAAACUCAAAAGAAUUGACGGGGGCCCGCACAAGCGGUGGAGCAUGUGGUUUAAUUCGAAGCUACGCCGAAGAACCUUACCAGGUCUUGACAUCUUCUGCCAACCUAAGAGAUAAGGCGUUCCCUAUAAAGAAGACAGAAUGACAGGUGGUGCAUGGUUGUCGUCAGCUCGUGUCGUGAGAUGUUGGGUUAAGUCCCGCAACGAGCGCAACCCUUAUUACUAGUUGCCAGCAUUCAGUUGGGCACUCUAGUGAGACUGCCGGUGACAAACCGGAGGAAGGUGGGGACGACGUCAAAUCAUCAUGCCCCUUAUGACCUGGGCUACACACGUGCUACAAUGGAUGGUACAACGAGUUGCGAAACCGCGAGGUUUAGCUAAUCUCUUAAAACCAUUCUCAGUUCGGACUGUAGGCUGCAACUCGCCUACACGAAGUCGGAAUCGCUAGUAAUCGCGGAUCAGCAUGCCGCGGUGAAUACGUUCCCGGGCCUUGUACACACCCCCGUCACACCAUGAGAGUUUGUAACACCCAAAGCCGGUGGGGUAACCUUUUUAGG